AGGAGAAAUUCUCAGUCCUAAAAGGGAUCCUAUUUGUUUCCGCAUUGAUCAGAUCGGUAGGAUCUGGAUUUCCCAAUGAACCGAGGCAUUGAAGGUGAGGUUGCUCGGUAGGAAUAACGAUUUUCUUGGCCAAUUCCUAAAGGUGUGAAGGUCAGAAAAAUAGAAAAAAGAAAGAGGAAAAGAAAAUACUAAGUAAAUAACUGUGCA
rnacentral:lncRNA from 1 species